GCGAUUCGUCGAUGGCCCAUAUGAUCGUUCGAAGAUGAUCGCAAGAAAUAAGCGACUGUGGAUCUUUCUCCUUGGUUCGAGAUGAUGAAGAAUCAACGUCGCUCGUCGAGGCGGAGACGUGUCGAGGAGGAAACGCAAGAGCGAGAGGCUGUUGAAUAAUCGACGAGCAGCCGGGAGGAAAAAUUGAGCGACGAAGAAACGGGAUGAAGCUGGAUCGAGCGUAGAAAGAAAAAAGAAAAGAAGAAGGAAGCAUUCGGUAAAGAGCGAAACCGUCGAC